GAUACAAUUCUUAGAAUAUAAGUUAAUGAAAUUUGCAUAUAAACCUUGGAGAUAAUUAAAAACCUACAUGGUAGAAAUCAACAUCAACAAUAACAAAAACUACUGAACUAUAGACAAUAACAAAAACUACUGAACUAUAGAAGACCAACACGCUAUGCUUGAUCAUUCAAAGGCCCAUUGAUUUUCUCUGCGAAUUUCCUUCUCUUCUUCAGGAGUAAAGUCGUUCUUAAUAUUAAAAGUCUUGCGAAUUUCCUCGGGUGUUUUACCCUUGAUCAUGUCUGCAACAGUUUGGCAAGUAAGAUCCAAAAGACUCUUGAUGUUCAAAUAGUUUGCAGCCAAUAUCAAAUCAUAAAGAGUUGCCUGAUCAACUUUAACAAAGUCAGCAUCCCAAGUCUUGAGUUCUUCUUGAUCUGUUGACUGACCCUCGACCUCAACAUGUUUCUUGCAGUACUCAAUAACUUUAGCCAAGAUCUUUGCUGUCACAUUAGGUAGAGGGAUGCCGUUAUCAGCACAGUCAUCUUCAAUCAUGUGUUUGAUAGUUUGGGAUUGAGUAAUAACUGCUUCUUCAACUUCAAAUGAUUCACCAUCUGAACUAUUCAGUGUUACCAUCUUGGUCGACAUGAUCUCAAAUAGCAGCAAACAACAACAACAACAAUGCUGAACACGAAAAAACUUGUUUGUUUCUUUCAAAAAAAAAAAAGGCACAAAAGAAACUUGAUGAAUCAAACGCUUUAUGGUAAUCCUUUAUUUAUACUGAUCGAUCCUUCUUUCUAGAAACUUGCAAAUCAAAAAUCAAGUCGUACUAGAAAUUCUAAGUAUUACACACCGAACUUCUCACAAGGAAUUUCGACUCAUUCUCUCUAUAGGACUCCAACCAAACGAACUUUACUAAUGAGUUUUAAUAUGGACUAAGAUAUUGGGCCACGCCCAACUCGGGAUUGAAUUCAAAUAUUCCAGGCCUGUAUUGGGCCAAGAUCCCGGACCAUGGGCUAUGUGAUUACGUCAGUCAGUUUAAACUCUAAGGCUCGGUAAAUUCUUGGUAUUUUACGAGAAAUUUUAAGUUCUGCUUCUCCAUAGGUUUCAAAUUUUCUUUCGUGUCUUGGUCUUCCUCUUCCCUCUCCAUCUUAGCUUCUCUAAUGUUUUGAAUUUUUUCGUUAGAUGUCGUUUGUCGAAAUAGUGAAACAUCAAUCUUUCUUUUUCAUAUAAAUUGAAUCAAUGGUGGACAUGAUUGGCAAUUUAUAUACUGUAUACUAUGUGUUUAAUUACAGAUACAUUUUCAUGAUACAGUCCGACUUUGUCAAGUUGGUUCAUCCUGACUCCAUCAUAAGUGAAAUGAGGAUUUUUUUGCCUUAAAGAUACUGUGAAAGUUUCCGCAAGCAUUUCAGGAUUUUUACAUUGGCAAAACCAUUAUCUUUAAGUUGGAGCAUCCUAGAGGUUGUGUGUCUUCAAGUAGGGAAAUUUGGACUUAACCCCCCCACAUUAUGAACACACUAUAAAUAAACCCCCCAAUUGUUGAAAACUUGGACUUAACACCCUGCCGUUUGACUCCGUUAAAAUUUUCAUCCAAAGUUUAUUUUUUCUUACCUAAAUACCCUUCCUCAACCUAUUAGAACAAACCCCCAAAAUGUCUUCACUACUUGAUAAUAAUUUAAAAUGCUCCAUUGAUACAAUUUCAAUUGAAUUGAUGCAAGUUUGAUUUGAGAACCCAAAUUGAUGUAAGAGAGAAAAAAGAAAAUUGAAAGAGCUUUGUUUUCUUCUUGAUUUUGUCUUUGGCUUAUUCAACCCAUUUGAUUACUCCAACUCUAUGUUAUUUGCUUCCUAUCACCACACUAAUGUUAUGUUCAUUGCUCCAAUUUCAAAGUUAGAUAUGAAAUAAAGAAGAAUAAGAAAAUAAAGCUAGUUGAAUCAAAAUAUGUAAAUAAAGCUUGAAGAUUAAAAAAAUUGAGAGGGAGAUGUUGAUGUUGAUGUUGUUGUUGUUGUUGCUAAGUGAAGUGAAAAAGAUGAUUUGAAUAUGAGAUGUAAAGAAGAUGAUAGUGAAGAAGAUGAAGGGUAUUUAGGUCAAAACCAUUAAUCAUUGGAUGGUAAACUGGAUGGAACCUAACAAUGGGAUGUUAAGUCAAAGUUUUCAACUAUCAGGGGGUUUAUUUAUAUAGUGUCCAUAAUGUGGGGGGUUAAGUCCAAUUUUCCCCUUCAAGUACUUGUUAAUCUGUUAAAAAUUCAGCGGUAGCUAUUGCUGCUGAGAAAACUGUGUAAAUCCAAUUGUGAGAGUGGUUGUGUUUAACAGUUUAGGUUGUCCGUCUUCUGGUUGUGGUCAACUGUUUGUUUUCUACUAAUAACCUAAGCACUGGUGUAAUAAUAUAUUUCAGUAAGUUAUUAAUACUUAAAUUUUGGGAGAAUGAAUCAAUUAAUGACUUAAUUUAUUUUGUGAUAUUCAGAACUUAAUGUGUAUUCAGUGCUUAAUGCUAGAGAAAAGAUAAUAAAAAUAAACAACACCUAAGCAAAUCAAAGUUUCUUCAGUAAAAUUUAUAGGCUUCCCUAAAAUUCAGUAUGGAGAGCAGGAGAGGUUUUUCCAGGACUGAAUGUAUAUAGACCUAUCUUGCAAAUCAGAUUACAAAUCUCAAUGUGUACACACCCAUAAAUUCAACAGCACAGCAAACUAAGAGCAUUCCCAAUGGUAAAACACUUUUAGUGGUGCCACAUAGGAUGGUUUUAAGGAAUUUUGAGGUUUUCAAUGGUUUUAGCGAAAAAAGGGUUUUAGUGUUUCCAAUGGUGGAUUAUCCAUACCGCACUCAUUGUGGGGUAUGGAUCCAUACCGCACUCAUUGUGGGGUAUGGAUCCAUACCGCACUCAUUGUGGCGGAUGGAUCCAUACCGCACUCAUUGUGGCGGAUGGAUCCAUACCGCACUCAUUGUGGCGGAUGGAUCUUCUUUUAGAUGAGUCCAUACCGCACUAAUUGUGGGGUAUGGAUCCAUACCGCACUUAUUGUGGGGUAUGGAUCCAUACCGCACUAAUUGUGGCGGAUGGAUUCCUACGUGGCACUUUUAACUCCUUGGCAAAUUUGCCAAGGAGUUAAAAGUGUUUUGCUUGAAAAGUGUGUUAAAAGCUACCAUUGGCAAGUGUUUUCACUAAAAGUUAACUAAAAGUGUGCUAAAACCUACCAUUGGGAAUGCUCUAAGUACGGAGUAUUACACAACCCUGUAAGUUGUAAUAGUAACAAAGCAUUCAAAACAACAUUGGUUGUCACCACCUAUGAAUUUUUGUAAGAAUUAAUGUUGAUGUUCAUUUUGAUAAUGCAUCACAUCCAAUUGCUAUUAGUUAGGUGUUGAGAGACCACAAUGGAUUGUUUAUGGCAGCAGGAUCAGAUGUUAAAUUCCAGUAAGUUCUGCAGAGGAGGGCGAGAGCGAAGGCCUCUUAUGUGCGGCAGAAUGAGUCUGUCUUAGGAUAGGGAAUGUUGGCUUGGGAGCUCCAAAGCCCUUUUGGAAGAAGUGCAGGUGGCACAUGUUCUUACUCACCGGGCCAUUCAGAUUCACAGCACUCACCGGAAUUGGAUAAGCCUCGGCAGACCUCGAAAGGCUUGUUGUAAGCCUCACUUUAUCAGGUUGGACUCUGGUAAUGUUUUGAAAAAACAAAAAAACCUCUGGUAAUGUUUUGUAGGAAGUUUAGUUAGAUUUUUUGAAUUCAUCCUAAUUGAGCCAAUUUUCUUCUGGUACUGCAACUUUUUUUCCUUUAUCAUAUUUUUGCUGUGGAAAUCUAAAAUUGAGAAUGGGAAUAAUUAUGUAUCAAAUAUGCCCAUUGCCAUGGUUUGAUUUGGACAUUAAGCUUGAUCAUCUAGCAUGGUCAAGCAACGUGUUGGCGGAUCAAAUUAUACUUUUAUGUUCGUGUUCAAUAUUCUUAUCUUGAAUUUGUAUUUUGUACCAUGGUAUGGCUUAUAUAGUUAUACCCUCAGCAAAAUUCACCACCCUUUGCAUCAGUAGCUCAGUACUUUGAAAGAAGAACACGAAAAAAUAAAAUAAAAACCUAGAUUAGGAAGCAUACUUAAAAGUUGGAAACAUGAUAUUGUUUUCUGCGUUACAAGUCUGAUUAUUUGAUGAUUGAUCCAUAAAAAGUGAAGUUUCAAAUUUGAAGAACCAAAAACUGUAAACAGGAAUAAUUUAUUAAAUAAAUUUGCAAUAACAAUAUAUACGAAAUUGAGCAAUAUGUUAAAAAUUAAAUUUCCAUCAAAUAGAUUAUACUCAGUCAUCACCAGUAAACCUUGAAACAUCCAAAACACAUAUAAUUUUAACAAAACGUCGUGACUAAACUAACACAGGAGUUUGUUGAUAAAAAAAGAUAUAUAGCAAAAAACAAGAAAAAAAAACCAAAGCACAUUAAACCGCAAUCACUCAAAGGCCCAUUGGUUUUCUCGGCGAACUGCCUCUUCUUCUUCAGGAGUGAAGUCGUUCUUAAUAUUAAAAGUCUUGCGAAUUUCCUCAGGUGUUUUACCCUUGAUCAUGUCUGCGACAGUUUGGCAAGUAAGAUCCAAUAGACUCUUGAU
rnacentral:lncRNA from 1 species